GAUGAACGCUGGCGGCGUGCCUAAUACAUGCAAGUCGAGCGAACGGACGAGAAGCUUGCUUCUCUGAUGUUAGCGGCGGACGGGUGAGUAACACGUGGAUAACCUACCUAUAAGACUGGGAUAACUUCGGGAAACCGGAGCUAAUACCGGAUAAUAUUUUGAACCGCAUGGCUCAAAAGUGAAAGACGGUCUUGCUGUCACUUAUAGAUGGAUCCGCGCUGCAUUAGCUAGUUGGUAAGGUAACGGCUUACCAAGGCAACGAUGCAUAGCCGACCUGAGAGGGUGAUCGGCCACACUGGAACUGAGACACGGUCCAGACUCCUAAGGGAGGCAGCAGUAGGGAAUCUUCCGCAAUGGGCGAAAGCCUGACGGAGCAACGCCGCGUGAGUGAUGAAGGUCUUCGGAUCGUAAAACUCUGUUAUUAGGGAAGAACAUAUGUGUAAGUAACUGUGCACAUCUUGACGGUACCUAAUCAGAAAGCCACGGCUAACUACGUG
rnacentral:rRNA from 1 species